rnacentral:rRNA from 1 species
GGUCAGCCACAUCGGGACUGAGACACUGCCCGGACUCCUACGGGAGGCUGCAGUCGAGAAUCUUUUUCAAUGGGCGAAAGCCUGAAAAUGCGACGCCGCGUGGGGGAUGAAGGUCUUCGGAUUGUAAACCCAUUUUAUCGGGGAGGAAGGCCUUGAUGUGAACAGCGUCAAGGAUUGACUGUACCUGAUGAAUAAGCCACGGCUAACUCCGUGCCAGCAGCCGCGGUAAUACGGAGGUGGCGAGCGUUACUCGGUUUGAUUGGGUGUAAAGGGUCCGCAGGCGGUUCUGUAAGUGAAAGGUGAAAUCUUUUAGCUCAACUAAAAAAUUGCCUUUCAAACUGCUUAACUUGAGGAUGGGAGAGGAGAGUGGAACUACCGGUGUAAAGGUGAAAUUUGUGGAUAUCGGUAGGAACGCCCGUGGAGAGGUCGGCUCUCUGGUCCAUACCUGACGCUCAGGGACGAAAGCUAGGGGAGCGAACAGGAUUAGAUACCCUGGUAGUCCUAGCCGUAAACUAUGGGCACUAGGUGUUCGUCCGCAAGGAUGGGUGCCGCAGCUAACGCAUUAAGUGCCCCACCUGGGGACUACGGCCGCAAGGCUAAAACUCAAAGGAAUUGACGGGGGCCCGCACAAGCGGUGGAACACGUGGUUUAAUUCGAUGCUACGCGAGGAACCUUACCAGGGUUUGACAUGCUGGAAGUAAUCGCCUGAAAGGGUGGGUGACCUGUAUCCAAUCAGGUACCAGCACAGGUGCUGCAUGGCUGUCGUCAGCUCGUGCCGUGAAGUGUUCCCUUAAGUGGGAGAACGAGCGCAACCCCCGCCUUUAGUUGCAACCUUCUCGGUUUACCGAGGGGGGCACUCUAGAGGGACUGCCCGCGUUAAGUGGGAGGAAGGCGAGGACGACGUCAAGUCCGCAUGGCCCUUAUGUCCUGGGCUACACACGUGUUACAAUGCCUGUUACAAUGGGAGGCUAAACCGCGAGGUGGAGCAAAUCCCCUAAAAACAGGCCCAGUUCAGAUUGCAGGCUGCAAUUCGCCUGCAUGAAGCCGGAAUCGCUAGUAAUGGCGCAUCAGCACGGCGCCGUGAAUACGUUCCCGGGCCUUGUACACACCGCCCGUCAAGCGCUGAAAGUGGGGGGCACCUGAAGUCCUCGUAAGAGGAUCACGGUUAAUUUCAUGAUUGGCGCUAAGUCGUAACAAGGUA